UCUGGCCUGAAACUCAGAGGCAGCUUAAAUAGCUCCGUCACUUUGCAUAGUCACACCCAGUGCCAUUGCCCUGCGGCACUAAGCAGUCAGUAUAAAUCCAGCAGCCGGCACUGCAUAUUUAAUUGGGGAGUUUCUAGCAAGCCAGGUGACAGGCAGCAUGACAGCGCAGAUGCUACUUUAUGUAAUGCUCUUGCUAGGGAUUCAAGACACCAGUGGGCAGGUUGUGUUGACUCAGUCUCCAGAGUCUCUCUCGAUCCUCCCUGGAGAAACUGUUACUAUCAAAUGCCAAUCUGAUACAGACAUUGAUGAUGACAUGAACUGGUACCAGCAGAAAUCCGGAGCUGCUCCUAAGCUCCUUCUCUCUGAAGGUUCUAGUCGCCAAACGGGGGUCCCAGCCCGGUUCAGCAGCAGUGGUUAUGGGACAGAUUUCACUUUCACCAUCAGCAGUGUUGAAAAUGAUGAUGCUGGAGAUUAUUACUGUCAGCAAAGUGAUCGUACCCCACUCACAGUGUUACAGACCAAUACAAAAACCUCUCCCUGCUGCACAGUAUGUUCUGCCCGGGCCAUCUGUUCUACAGCAGUUACAUAG